GUACUACUCCCUCCGUUCCAAAUUACUUGUCUUAGAUUUGUCUAGAUACGGAUGUAUCUAGCACUAAAAUGAGUCUAGAUACAUAUGUAUCUAGACAAAUUCAAGACAAGUAAUUCGGAAUGGAGGGAGUACUAU
rfam:Triticum aestivum genome assembly, contig: Triticum_aestivum_CS42_TGACv1_scaffold_230584_3B